UCGAUUCCCUUAGUAGCGGCGAGCGAAACGGGAAGAGCCCAAACCAACAAGCUUGCUUGUUGGGGUUGUAGGACACUCUAUACGGAGUUACAAAGGACGACAUUAGACGAAUCAUCUGGAAAGAUGAAUCAAAGAAGGUAAUAAUCCUGUAGUCGAAAAUGUUGUCUCUCUUGAGUGGAUCCUGAGUACGACGGAGCACGUGAAAUUCCGUCGGAAUCUGGGAGGACCAUCUCCUAAGGCUAAAUACUCUCUAGUGACCGAUAGUGAACCAGUACCGUGAGGGAAAGGUGAAAAGCACCCCGGAAGGGGAGUGAAAUAGAACCUGAAACCGUGUGCUUACAAGUAGUCAGAGCCCGUUAAUGGGUGAUGGCGUGCCUUUUGUAGAAUGAACCGGCGAGUUACGAUUUGAUGCAAGGUUAAGCAGUAAAUGUGGAGCCGUAGCGAAAGCGAGUCUGAAUAGGGCGUUUAGUAUUUGGUCGUAGACCCGAAACCAGGUGAUCUACCCUUGGUCAGGUUGAAGUUCAGGUAACACUGAAUGGAGGACCGAACCGACUUACGUUGAAAAGUGAGCGGAUGAACUGAGGGUAGCGGAGAAAUUCCAAUCGAACCUGGAGAUAGCUGGUUCUCUCCGAAAUAGCUUUAGGGCUAGCCUCAAGUGAUGAUUAUUGGAGGUAGAGCACUGUUUGGACGAGGGGCCCCUCUCGGGUUACCGAAUUCAGACAAACUCCGAAUGCCAAUUAAUUUAACUUGGGAGUCAGAACAUGGGUGAUAAGGUCCGUGUUCGAAAGGGAAACAGCCCAGACCACCAGCUAAGGUCCCAAAAUAUAUGUUAAGUGGAAAAGGAUGUGGCGUUGCCCAGACAACUAGGAUGUUGGCUUAGAAGCAGCCAUCAUUUAAAGAGUGCGUAAUAGCUCACUAGUCGAGUGACACUGCGCCGAAAAUGUACCGGGGCUAAACAUAUUACCGAAGCUGUGGAUUGUCCUUUGGACAAUGGUAGGAGAGCGUUCUAAGGGCGUUGAAGCAUGAUCGUAAGGACAUGUGGAGCGCUUAGAAGUGAGAAUGCCGGUGUGAGUAGCGAAAGACGGGUGAGAAUCCCGUCCACCGAUUGACUAAGGUUUCCAGAGGAAGGCUCGUCCGCUCUGGGUUAGUCGGGUCCUAAGCUGAGGCCGACAGGCGUAGGCGAUGGAUAACAGGUUGAUAUUCCUGUACCACCUAUAAUCGUUUUAAUCGAUGGGGGGACGCAGUAGGAUAGGCGAAGCGUGCGAUUGGAUUGCACGUCUAAGCAGUAAGGCUGAGUAUUAGGCAAAUCCGGUACUCGUUAAGGCUGAGCUGUGAUGGGGAGAAGACAUUGUGUCUUCGAGUCGUUGAUUUCACACUGCCGAGAAAAGCCUCUAGAUAGAAAAUAGGUGCCCGUACCGCAAACCGACACAGGUAGUCAAGAUGAGAAUUCUAAGGUGAGCGAGCGAACUCUCGUUAAGGAACUCGGCAAAAUGACCCCGUAACUUCGGGAGAAGGGGUGCUCUUUAGGGUUAACGCCCAGAAGAGCCGCAGUGAAUAGGCCCAAGCGACUGUUUAUCAAAAACACAGGUCUCUGCUAAACCGUAAGGUGAUGUAUAGGGGCUGACGCCUGCCCGGUGCUGGAAGGUUAAGAGGAGUGGUUAGCUUCUGCGAAGCUACGAAUCGAAGCCCCAGUAAACGGCGGCCGUAACUAUAACGGUCCUAAGGUAGCGAAAUUCCUUGUCGGGUAAGUUCCGACCCGCACGAAAGGCGUAACGAUUUGGGCACUGUCUCAACGAGAGACUCGGUGAAAUCAUAGUACCUGUGAAGAUGCAGGUUACCCGCGACAGGACGGAAAGACCCCGUGGAGCUUUACUGUAGCCUGAUAUUGAAAUUCGGCACAGCUUGUACAGGAUA
rnacentral:rRNA from 1 species